rnacentral:lncRNA from 10 species
ACCUCUAAUUCACAUCACAAGGAUUAGAACUGGGAACCAAAGAGUUGGUAACUCUAUCUUCUUACCUGCUUUAGGAAUGAAGGAGACUGUAGCCUGAAAGCCCCUGCAGGUCCCGUUUUCAUCUGAUUGGAAGCUGAUGAGCAUGAUGCUGGAGGGGCUCAGCACAGGGGUGGGGACAUCAUAGCCACACAGCCGAGCUUGUUGAAGGCCAGCCCAGGCAUGACAUUGUCAAGCACCCAGCAGAUAGCCAUGGCAUUGGAGAGAAGAAAAAAAGAAAAUCAUCCUUCAGGCUCUGAAAUGAAAGCUGAGAAGACACGAAGUUACAUCCAGAGUAAACAAUCUGAAUGAAUUACCUGACUUUGAUUCAGCAGAGAAAUUUGGAUUGCUCAACUUGUUCUGGAGUGGUUGAAUCUGCUGACAUGGAAC